AGCUUUGUGCAGUGGCAGAAUCGUAGCCAAUGAGGUUUAUCUGAGGUGCGAUCAUUGCUAAAAAAAUCACCAUUUAACCU
ensembl:snRNA Gm22956 predicted gene, 22956